CCAAUAUCAAUAUUUACAUUUAUGUUUAGGCUUAGAAGCUAGAUAAUGUUGAGAAUCUUGUAGCUCAACACUCCCCCCCCCCCUCAAGUUGGAGGGGGAGACCACCUUCAACUUGACCAGUAGAGGAUGUAGGACAGUCCCAGGCAGAGGGUUGGUGAGGAGGUCAGCUAGCUGUCGAGAGAUAGGGACAUGGGUGAGUGUAAUGAGCCCACUAGUCAGCUGAUCCUUAACAAAGUGACAGUCCACAUCAAUAUGUUUGGUCCGCUAAUGAAAAACAGGAUUCUUGGCAAUAUGAAUAACAACCUGGUUGUCACAAAAAAUAGAGAAGGGAAGAGUAACAGAAACCCCAAUAUCAGUAAGUAAACGAGAAAGCUAAGACAAUUCAGCUACCACUUUAUAGAGUGCCCUAUAUUCUGCUUCAGCAGAAAAUAAGGAAACUACAGGUUGUUUUUUGGACUUCCAACUAAUCAAACAGCCACCCAAAAUAACACAAAAACCAGUAACAGAUCUGCGAGUAUCAGGACAGACAGCCCAAUCACUGUCAGAAUAAGCAGUAAUAGAGAAAUCAGAACUGUCAGAAUAGAAGAGACCCAAAGAUAAAGUUCCCUUAAGAUAUCUGAGGACAUGUAGGGCAGCAGUCAUAUGAGGGACUCCGGGACAUUUCAAAAAUUGACUCAGAUGCUGAACAUCAAAACAGAUGUCAGGCCUAGUGUGAGUCAAAAAUAAGAGCUUACCAACAAGGCUCCUAUAUUGAUCAGGGGAGGAUAGAUGUCAGGCCUAGUGUGAGUAAAAAAUAAGAGCUUACCAACAAGGCUCCUACAUUGAUCAGAGGAGGAUAAAAGAUCACCAGAAUCAGCAUGGAGUUUGACAUUAAUAUCCAAAGGACAAACAAUAGGAGAAACAUUUAUACAGUCAAACUGAUGCAGCAGGUCAGAAACAUGUUUAUGCUGAUUAAGGAUCAUCCCACCAGGAACAACUGACAUCUCUAUGUCCAAAAAAUAAUAUAAAGACCCCAGGUCUUUAAUCCUGAACUGAUCAUCCAGAAACACUCUCAGGGCAGAAAUCUCAUCAUUGUCAUCCCCAGUAAUAAUAAUGUCAUCCACAUAGACUG
rnacentral:lncRNA from 1 species